UACGUAGGGUGCGAGCGUUUGUCCGGAAUUAUUGGGCGUAAAGAGCUCGUAGGCGGCUUGUCGCGUCGGAUGUGAAAGCCCGGGGCUUAACUCCGGGUCUGCAUUCGAUACGGGCAGGCUAGAGUUCGGUAGGGGAGAUCGGAAUUCCUGGUGUAGCGGUGAAAUGCGCAGAUAUCAGGAGGAACACCGGUGGCGAAGGCGGAUCUCUGGGCCGAUACUGACGCUGAGGAGCGAAAGCGUGGGGAGCGAACAGG
rnacentral:rRNA from 1 species